GGCAGGCCUAACACAUGCAAGUCGAACGGUAACAGGAAUCAGCUUGCUGAUUCGCUGACGAGUGGCGGACGGGUGAGUAAUGUCUGGGAAACUGCCUGAUGGAGGGGGAUAACUACUGGAAACGGUAGCUAAUACCGCAUAACGUCGCAAGACCAAAGAGGGGGACCUUCGGGCCUCUUGCCAUCGGAUGUGCCCAGAUGGGAUUAGCUAGUAGGUGGGGUAAAGGCUCACCUAGGCGACGAUCCCUAGCUGGUCUGAGAGGAUGACCAGCCACACUGGAACUGAGACACGGUCCAGACUCCUACGGGAGGCAGCAGUGGGGAAUAUUGCACAAUGGGCGCAAGCCUGAUGCAGCCAUGCCGCGUGUAUGAAGAAGGCCUUCGGGUUGUAAAGUACUUUCAGCGGGGAGGAAGGGAGUAAAGUUAAUACCUUUGCUCAUUGACGUUACCCGCAGAAGAAGCACCGGCUAACUCCGUGCCAGCAGCCGCGGUAAUACGGAGGGUGCAAGUGUUAAUCGGAAUUACUGGGCGUAAAGCGCACGCAGGCGGUUUGUUAAGUCAGAUGUGAAAUCCCCGGGCUCAACCUGGGAACUGCAUCUGAUACUGGCAAGCUUGGGUCUCGUAGAGGGGGGUAGAAUUCCAGGUGUAGCGGUGAAAUGCGUAGAGAUCUGGAGGAAUACCGGUGGCGAAGGCGGCCCCCUGGACGAAGACUGACGCUCAGGUGCGAAAGCGUGGGGAGCAAACAGGAUUAGAUACCCUGGUAGUCCACGCCGUAAACGAUGUCGACUUGGAGGUUGUGCCCUUGAGGCGUGGCUUCCGGAGCUAACGCGUUAAGUCGACCGCCUGGGGAGUACGGCCGCAAGGUUAAAACUCAAAUGAAUUGACGGGGGCCCGCACAAGCGGUGGAGCAUGUGGUUUAAUUCGAUGCAACGCGAAGAACCUUACCUGGUCUUGACAUCCACGGAAGUUUUCAGAGAUGAGAAUGUGCCUUCGGGAACCGUGAGACAGGUGCUGCAUGGCUGUCGUCAGCUCGUGUUGUGAAAUGUUGGGUUAAGUCCCGCAACGAGCGCAACCCUUAUCCUUUGUUGCCAGCGGUCCGGCCGGGAACUCAAAGGAGACUGCCAGUGAUAAACUGGAGGAAGGUGGGGAUGACGUCAAGUCAUCAUGGCCCUUACGACCAGGGCUACACACGUGCUACAAUGGCGCAUACAAAGAGAAGCGACCUCGCGAGAGCAAGCGGACCUCAUAAAGUGCGUCGUAGUCCGGAUUGGAGUCUGCAACUCGACUCCAUGAAGUCGGAAUCGCUAGUAAUCGUGGAUCAGAAUGCCACGGUGAAUACGUUCCCGGGCCUUGUACACACCGCCCGUCACACCAUGGGAGUGGGUUGCAAAAGAAGUAGGUAGCUUAACCUUCGGGAGGGCGCUUACCACUUUGUGAUUCAUGACUGGGGUGAAGUCGUA
rnacentral:rRNA from 1 species